CAGGGCGCCGAGCGAGGGGCCAGGCCCUGGCACAGCCGGCACCCCCCGCCCUGAGGCCCGUCAGGGGCGGGCGGAUGCUUGGGCGUCGCCUCAGCUACCCCAGGCGCCUGGGCAGGAGGGCUCGGGCGGGCGCCGCUGAAGGGAGGGGACUGCGGGGGGCGGGUUAACAGCACCCAAGGCCGUUGUAGGCUUCAGCCGUCCCCAAAGGAGCGGGGACCCGGCGCAAGGCUCGGUGCCUGUGAAGCGCAACAUGGCGACAAGGCCGACGGCACCCGGAGGCCUAGUAGGUACUGAGAACCGGCGAGGCUAAAGCGGCCUGGACGACCAUUAAGACCUCUUACGUCUGGGCGGCGCGGAGACUACAUUUCCCAGAGGGCCUCGCGCGGCGCGGGCUUGGCGGGGGCGGGGAAAAGGAAGCGCCUCGGAGCCAGUGCGCAGGCGUGAGAGUCCCCGCUGGCUACUUAAGGGAGGCUCGCUCGCUGUUCUUCCUUUCGCGUCUGCGGCGCUCUCUCUUCUUUGUGGUGUGCUGUCUGUUCCUCAUCCGAUGUCGUCUCAACCCUGGAAUCAGAAUUUGCUACUGUACGUGAUUUGCGUGAUCAGACGCUACAGAAUGAAUCUUGGCGGAGGGGUCCCUGCCGGGGCUCCAAGGGAACCACGUGUCGACAGGCAGAACCUUCAGCUUCCUGACGUCUGGAGCUCACUGUUGGCAGCAAACAGGCAUUGAAUGGACCGUGAUGGAUCCAGGACUGGGAGAGAAUUUGACCAGAGCCCUGUGUACAUCAGGGCCUACAUAGGUUGAUGGCUGCCUGAUUUCAGUUUGGUUCAGUUCUGUAAUAGGAAUUUCAGCUGUGGAGUCAGAAUGCAAGGCCUCUUGAGAAAGAUGUACAUUUACUUCUGAGAAAGCAUGAAGAUUUAGGUUGUUGUUUAACCUGAGUGUCCAGAGGUAAAAAUCUUGUGGCUGUUGUGAAAAAUGUAGUGUUAUAUUAAGUUUUGGUUAUUAAGGUUUUAACUUUGUAGCCUUCCUGUCUGGAGAAAUAAAAUCCUUUAAAUGAAAAUGCUGUUCUCUUGAGUCAUUAGACCUUGAACCAAAUGAUACUGAGUUAAAAGGUGGAUCCCACACUCUACAUGACUUGUUGACAUCCUCUGAUACUUCCCUGUCCAUCACCAACUCCUGGAGCUUGCUCAAACUCAGGUCCAUUGAGUCGGUGAUGCCAUCAGAUCCUCUCAUGCUCUGUUGCUCCCUUCUGCCUUCAAUCUCCCAGCAUCAGUGUCUUUUCCAGUGAGCAUCAAGUAGCUAAAGUAUUGGGAGUUUUGCUUCAGCAUCAGUUCUUCAAUGAAUA
ensembl:lncRNA